rnacentral:rRNA from 1 species
UACGUAGGGGGCAAGCGUUGUCCGGAAUCAUUGGGCGUAAAGAGCGUGUAGGCGGCUUGGUAAGUCCGCUGUGAAAGUCCAGGGCUCAACCCUGGGAUGCCGGUGGAUACUGUCGGGCUCGAGUCCGGAAGAGGCGAGUGGAAUUCCUGGUGUAGCGGUGAAAUGCGCAGAUAUCAGGAGGAACACCAAUGGCGAAGGCAGCUCGCUGGGACGUGACUGACGCUGAGACGCGAAAGCGUGGGGAGCAAACAGG